AGCGAACGCUGGCGGCAGGCCUAACACAUGCAAGUCGAGCGGCCGUAGCAAUACGGCAGCGGCAGACGGGAGAGUAACACGUGGGAACGUGCCCAUCAGUUCGGAACAACCCAGGGAAACUUGGGCUAAUACCGGAUACGCCCUUACGGGGAAAGAUUUAUCGCUGAUGGAGCGGCCCGCGUCUGAUUAGCUUGUUGGUGAGGUAACGGCUCACCAAGGCGACGAUCAGUAGCUGGUCUGAGAGGAUGAUCAGCCUCACUGGGACUGAGACACGGCCCAGACUCCUACGGGAGGCAGCAGUGGGGAAUAUUGGACAAUGGGCGCAAGCCUGAUCCAGCCAUGCCGCGUGGAUGAUGAAGGCCCUAGGGUUGUAAAGUCCUUUCGGCGGGGAAGAUAAUGACGGUACCCGCAGAAGAAGCCCCGGCUAACUUCGUGCCAGCCGCCGCAGUAAGAC
rnacentral:rRNA from 1 species